ensembl:lncRNA
CAGCUGGAGAGAGAACUAGGCUCCCUGAGCGGUGUGGGUAUGGGCAUGGCACGGGGUGGCAGCACAUGCAUUUCUCUCUGAUUUCAGACCAUUCCCGCGUGCACCAAGGCUCUGUAGAGUCACUCGGGCUGUGGCUUUCAGGCUGCAAACUGUCUCUAAGAUGAGGAGACAGCUGUUGUUCUUGGAUGACCUUCUCAGGGGAGGAAGAGGAGCAUCCUCGAGGAGAGUUCUCAGGGUUUGCUAACAUCAGGACUGAAGGAGAAGGAAGUUUUGUCGAGCUUCAUCUUUGAGAAGAAAGCUAGAAGACAGAGGUCCCAGGGUGUUUUGGUUACUCUGGAGUGAAACAUGGAGGAGAGAACCAUAAAAUAUUUCCAGAGCUCUGUGACUAGUACCACUGAGUCUCUGUUUUUAUUUCCUGGAGGUAAUUAGCAUUCAAACAACUUGUGUGCUCUGGGUUGCCCAAUAGGACCCUGGGCAGGGAGAGCGCCAGCCUUGGAGCAAGAUGGUUGAGUGAGUGGUGGCACUUAUCACAGGAGAGAAGAGCGAGCUGGGCCUUGGGCGACUCCUGUAGAGAGAAAAAGAGAGCGUGGGCAGCGGGCCGAGAGCGGUUGAGCGAGCGCUGGGCCGAGCAGGAGAAAGGCCCUCGUGAGGUUUCCAGAUGCAGGGCCAUACACUCUCCGAAGCACUUCUUCACUCUUAUCUCGUAAUUCUCUCCCCACCCUUUGGUUGAGGAACAGGUGAUAUUUUUAGCUCUGUUUUCCUAGUAAGUAAGUUAAUUUUCAGAGAAGAUAAAGUAACCCCAAAGACACAACUGGAUAGAAGUUGAUCUAGGGCUAGAAACCAGCUCUCCCAACCUAGGGAUCAGGGUUCCUCACUGUCCCCCAAUGCCACUGGAACCUGAAAUGGCACGGCCUGGUCUGGAGGACGUUGAGGAGCAUAAAUUAGGCAGAGGAAGGAGUGUGGGUACGGGGAGUGUUCCAGGUGGAAGGAACAGCACUUCAAGGCCUUGAGGAAGGAGCCAGAGUGGUGCUUCCUGAGAACCAAAACAGGCCAGGAAGGCUGGGCCACGGAAAGCAACGUGGGGGCUGGUGUGAGGUGGGACUGGAUUAUGAAGAGCUCCGAGAGCUCACUUGCCACUUCUUCAACGGGACCUGCCUACCUCCAGCAGCAGAUUCCUUCCUGAAGAGCGUCAGCACACUCUCUCCCGUGGACUUCCGCUGUACCCAAUGGCACUGACCUUUGAGCCACUGGUGGCGGUGUGGGGGGAGGCACGGGAUUAACAAAAAGUUUGUCAACUCUUCAUCUAGUCCUUAAGCCUGCCACAUUUCCUGCCUGGAGAGGAACUUCUGCCCGGUGGAAACACGAUGCCCCUCAGGAGAAAGGGUAUCGCUGUACAGUUUGUCUUGUGAACUCCACCUGACCAUCACACUCUACAAAUACAGGGAUCAUCUCCCUAAAAGCUAUGCUAUUCAGUCUCAUCUCUGGGGACCUUGUUAUAGGUACUUUUUGUGUAAGUCAGCAAUAGUAUAAAUACAAUCAUGUUAAUAGUUUUCCAUCUAUC